rnacentral:rRNA from 1 species
UGGGGAAUAUUGCACAAUGGGCGCAAGCCUGAUGCAGCCAUGCCGCGUGUAUGAAGAAGGCCUUCGGGUUUUAAAGUACUUUCAGCGGGGAGGAAGGGAGUAAAGUUAAUACCUUUGCUCAUUGACGUUACCCGCAGAAGAAGCACCGGCUAACUCCGUGCCAGCAGCCGCGGUAAUACGGAGGGUGCAAGCGUUAAUCGGAAUUACUGGGCGUAAAGCGCACGCAGGCGGUUUGUUAAGUCGGAGGUGAAAUCCCCGGGCUCAACCUGGGAACUGCAUCGGAUACGGGCAAGCUUGAGUCUCGUAGAGGGGGGUAGAAUUCCAGGUGUAGCGGUGAAAUGCGUAGAGAUCUGGAGGAAUACCGGUGGCGAAGGCGGCCCCCUGGACGAAGACUGACGCUCAGGUGCGAAAGCGUGGGGAGCAAACAGG